rnacentral:rRNA from 1 species
GUUUGAUCCUGGCUCAGGAUGAACGCUAGCGGCAGGCUUAACACAUGCAAGUCGAGGGGUAUAGGUUUUCGGACCUAGAGACCGGCGCACGGGUGCGUAACGCGUAUGCAAUCUACCUUUUGCAGAGGGAUAGCCCAGAGAAAUUUGGAUUAAUACCUCAUAGUAUAUAUGAAUGGCAUCAUUUAUAUAUUAAAGUCACAACGGCAAAAGAUGAGCAUGCGUCCCAUUAGCUAGUUGGUAUGGUAACGGCAUACCAAGGCGACGAUGGGUAGGGGUCCUGAGAGGGAGAUCCCCCACACUGGUACUGAGACACGGACCAGACUCCUACGGGAGGCAGCAGUGAGGAAUAUUGGACAAUGGGCGCAAGCCUGAUCCAGCCAUGCCGCGUGCAGGAUGACGGUCCUAUGGAUUGUAAACUGCUUUUGCACAGGAAGAAACAUCCCGACGUGUCGGGACUUGACGGUACUGUGAGAAUAAGGAUCGGCUAACUCCGUGCCAGCAGCCGCGGUAAUACGGAGGAUCCAAGCGUUAUCCGGAAUCGUUGGGUUUAAAGGGUCCGUAGGCGGUCUUAUAAGUCAGUGGUGAAAUCUCCCCGCUCAACGGGGAAACGGCCAUUGAUACUGUAGGACUUGAAUUAUUAGGAAGUAACUAGAAUAUGUAGUGUAGCGGUGAAAUGCUUAGAGAUUACAUGGAAUACCAAUUGCGAAGGCAGGUUACUACUAAUGGAUUGACGCUGAUGGACGAAAGCGUGGGUAGCGAACAGGAUUAGAUACCCUGGUAGUCCACGCCGUAAACGAUGGAUACUAGCUGUUGGGAGCAAUCUCAGUGGCUAAGCGAAAGUGAUAAGUAUCCCACCUGGGGAGUACGUUCGCAAGAAUGAAACUCAAAGGAAUUGACG